CCCUUAGAUGUUCUGGGCCGCACGCUUGCUACACUGAGUGGAUCAGCGGGUCAGGUUGCGCGAAAGUGUUUCCUAAUCUUUAAAUCCGCUCGUGAUGGGGAUUGACGGUUGCAAUUUUCCGUCAUGAACGAGGAAUACCUUGUAAGCGCGGGUCAUCAUCCCGCGCUGAAUACGUCCCUGCCCUUUGUACACACCGCCCGUCGCUCCUACCGAUUGAGUGGUCCGGUGAGGCUUUGGGAUCUGGGCGGAAAGAGCGUUUCGCUGUUUCUGCCCGGAAAACUCAGUCGAACCUUAUCAUUUAGAGGAAGGAGAAGUCGUAACA
rnacentral:rRNA from 1 species